rnacentral:rRNA from 1 species
UAGGGAAUCUUCGGCAAUGGGGGGAACCCUGACCGAGCAACGCCGCGUGAGUGAAGAAGGUUUUCGGAUCGUAAAGCUCUGUUGUUAAGGAAGAACGAGUGUGAGAAUGGAAAGUUCAUACUGUGACGGCACUUAACCAGAAAGGGACGGCUAACUACGUGCCAGCAGCCGCGGUAAUACGUAGGUCCCGAGCGUUGUCCGGAUUUAUUGGGCGUAAAGCGAGCGCAGGCGGUUAGAUAAGUCUGAAGUUAAAGGCAGUGGCUCAACCAUUGUAGGCUUUGGAAACUGUUUAACUUGAGUGCAGAAGGGGAGGGUGGAAUUCCAUGUGUAGCGGUGAAAUGCGUAGAUAUAUGGAGGAACACCGGUGGCGAAGGCGGCUCUCUGGUCUGUAACUGACGCGGAGGCUCGAAAGCGUGGGGAGCGAACAGG